rnacentral:rRNA from 1 species
CACGUAGGGCGCAAGCGUUGUCCGGAAUUAUUGGGCGUAAAGAGCUCGUAGGCGGUCUGUUACGUCUGCUGUGAAAACUCGGGGCUUAACCCCGAGCUUGCAGUGGAUACGGGCAGACUAGAGGUAGGUAGGGGAGAAUGGAAUUCCCGGUGUAGCAGUGAAAUGCGUAGAUAUCUGGAGGAACACCGGUGGCGAAGGCG